rnacentral:misc_RNA from 1 species
CUAGGAAAAUUUUUGAUGAGAUAGACACCCAUGAUGUGGUUUCUUGGAACACCAUGAUUGCAGGCUAUACACACUGUCGAAGAAUGGAUGAAGCUGUCCAUUUAUUCAAAAAGAUGGUCGUUAAGGACAUAGUGUCAUGGAACAUUAUGAUUACUGCUUAUGCUCAAAUGGGACAAAUGGACAGGGCUCUGAAGAUCUUUGAAGAGAUGGGGGAGAGGAAUUUAGUUUCCUGGAAUUCUUUAAUUUCCGGUUUCAUGUUAAAUGGGCU